rnacentral:tRNA from 1 species
GCCGCCGAGGUUGGUGCCUAGCCUGGUCUCGUCAAUCCGGCGCUGUGGGUUCGAUCCCCACCGGCGGCU